UACGGAGGAUGCAAGCGUUAUCCGGAAUGAUUGGGCGUAAAGCGUCCGCAGGUGGCAGUGUAAGUCUGCUGUUAAAGAGUCUGGCUCAACCAGAUAAAGGCAGUGGAAACUACACAGCUAGAGUACGGUAGGGGCAGAGGGAAUUCCUGGUGUAGCGGUGAAAUGCGUAGAGAUCAGGAAGAACAUCGGUGGCGAAGGCGCUCUGCUAGACCGAAACUGACACUGAGGGACGAAAGCUAGGGGAGCGAAUGGG
rnacentral:rRNA from 1 species